rnacentral:rRNA from 1 species
UGAGGAAUAUUGGUCAAUGGUCGGGAGGCUGAACCAGCCAAGCCGCGUGAGGGAUGAAGGUACAGAGUAUCGUAAACCUCUUUUGUCAGGGAACAAAAGGCGCCACGCGUGGCGCUCCGAGUGUACCUGAAGAAAAAGCAUCGGCUAACUCCGUGCCAGCAGCCGCGGUAAUACGGAGGAUGCGAGCGUUAUCCGGAUUUAUUGGGUUUAAAGGGUGCGUAGGCGGCGAGUUAAGUCAGCGGUAAAAGCCCGGGGCUCAACCCCGGCCCGCCGUUGAAACUGGCUUGCUUGAGUUGGAGAGAAGUAGGCGGAAUGCGCGGUGUAGCGGUGAAAUGCUUAGAUAUCGCGCAGAACUCCGAUUGCGAAGGCAGCCUACCGGCUCCAGACUGACGCUGAGGCACGAAAGCGUGGGUAUCGAACAGGAUUAGAUACCC